GGGUUUAUAGUUUAGUGGAUAAAAUUUACGUUUCCGAAAUGUAAAACACGGGUUCGAGUCCCGUUAAACCCU
rnacentral:tRNA from 1 species